AUUCUGCCCARGCGGGGAAGGAUGAGAAGCUUCGACCAAGGUUCGACUUGAGCGCCAGCGAGAGAGCGUUGCCGCAGGCAACGACCCGAAGGGCGAAGCGCGCAGCGCUGAGUAAUCCUUCCCCCACCACCA
rnacentral:sRNA from 1 species